CCUACGUGGGGCUGCAGUGGGGAAUAUUGGGCAAUGGGCGCAAGCCUUACUCAGCAAUUCCGCGUGAAGGAAGAAGGCUUUCGGGUUGUAAACUUCUUUGACAGGGGAAGAGCAGAAGACGGUACCCUGAAAACAAGCCACGGCUAACUCCGUGCCAGCAGCCGCGGUAAUACGUAGGUGGCAAGCGUUGUCCGGAUUUACUGGGUGUAAAGGGCGUGUAGCCGGGAAGGCAAGUCAGAUGUGAAAUCCGGAGGCUCAACCUCCGAAUUGCAUGUGAAACUGUUUUUCUUGAGUAAUGGAGAGGCAGAGGGAAUUCCGUGGGUAGGGGGGAAAUGAGUAGAUAUAAGGAGGAAGACCAGUGGCGAAGGCGGUCUGAUGCACAGCAACGGACG
rnacentral:rRNA from 1 species